rnacentral:misc_RNA from 1 species
GAUGAAGAACGUAGCGAAAUGCGAUAAGUAGUGUGAAUUGCAGAAUUCAGUGAAUCAUCGAAUCUUUGAACGCACAUUGCGCCCCUUGGUAUUCCAUGGGGCAUGCCUGCUCGAGCGUCAUUUGUACCUUCAAGCUCUGCUUGGUGUUGGGUGUUUGUCUCGCCUCUGCGUGUAGACUCGCCUUAAAACAAUUGGCAGCCGGCGUAUUGAUUUCGGAGCGCAGUACAUCUCGCGCUUUGCACUCAUAACGACGACGUCCAAAAGUACAUUUUUACACUCUUGACCUCGGAUCAGGUAGGGAUACCCGCUGAACUUAAGCAUAUCAAUAAGCGGAGGA